UACGGGGGGGGGCAAGCGUUGUUCGGAAUUACUGGGCGUAAAGGGCGCGUAGGCGGGUUCCCAAGUCGGUGGUGAAAUCUUUCGGCCCAACCGGAAAACAGCCGCCGAUACUGGGAGUCUUGAGGGAGGUAGGGGUCGAUGGAACUUCCGGUGGAGCGGUGAAAUGCGUAGAUAUCGGAAGGAACGCCGGUGGCGAAAGCGAUCGACUGGACCUUUUCUGACGCUGAGGCGCGAAAGCCAGGGGAGCAAACGGG
rnacentral:rRNA from 1 species